GUUGCUCGCUGCGGGCAGAGACGGCCACGCGGUUGCAGGAGUAAGCGAUCCCCCUGUGGCGAAUUGGCCAACGGCUCGUUUCCACCCUGCCUCGUUGGUGGCCACUGGAGAAGCGCGGGGGGCUCCCCAGACAGCCGUGGGGACAAGUUAGAGCCAGCACUUUGCCCCGGGCCUCGCGUGUAGCUUCCCGUCCCCUGCUCUAGGUGCCCUGGUGUCCGGAGGGGGUGCGGGUGCGGGGGUGUGCCCUCCGUACAUGUCCCACCACCCGGGCCACCCUCUGGGCUUGUGUUCCAUCUCGCUCUUGCUUCCUGCACGGUGGUCGAGGGGAACCACUUUGCAUCAUGUCCCGGUAUAGCUACCAAAGUCUCCUGGACUGGCUCUAUGGGGGCGUGGACCCCAGCUUUGCAGGCAAUGGGGGCCCCGACUGUGCUGCCUUCCUCUCUUGGCAGCAGCGGCUGCUGGAAAGUGUGGUGGUCCUGACCCUGGCCCUGUUGGAGAUCCUGGUGGCCCUGCGGCACAUCCUGAGGCAGACGAAGGAGGACGGUAGGGGUGGCCGUGGCUGCCAGCCAGAGCAGGUGACCCAGCGGCCAGAGGAAGGCAAAGAGAGCCUGAGCAAGAAUCUGCUCUUAGUAGCCCUGUGCCUGACCUUCGGGGUGGAGGUGGGCUUUAAGUUCGCCACCAAGACCGUCAUCUACCUGCUCAACCCCUGUCACCUGGUCACCAUGAUGCAUAAAGAAAAUCAAGUCUGUGCGAGACAAGUGCUCACGAGGACCAAGCAACAGAAAUGAUGGCAACGACUAUACCUUUUAUUAGAUUUUCGAAUAGAAUCAGACCACAUGAAGCUGGAAGUCAUACAGAGAGACAAAUUACAUUUGGUCACAUUUGGGUGGGAAUAGAACUUUUCAGCUCCAGCUCUUGAGCCGGUGUGGUUCUGUGAAAUCUCAUUUUCAGGCUCUGUUAGGGCAGCCCCGUAUUACGAUCGUAUUUCUGAAAUAAGCAGUCUGAGCUGGUCCUCUUCACUAAUGCCUCCUUCCCUCCCAGAAAGUUUCAAAGAAGGGGGAGCAGAAAAGAAAAGAAAAGAAAAGAAAAGAAAAGUAAGAGACAGGAAAAAGCUUGGAAGUUGGAGGACUGACUUCAUGAAUACAGGAUUACCACCCUGAACUUUCAAACUGUCUCUCCAGGCAAAAGUCACAAAUUUGCAUAUGGCCUCUGCCUUUCUGUCUCGGAAAAAAUUUGAUUGGUCAUUACUACAGGGAAGAGACCAUUUUGUAGGGUUUAUUCAGAGGAGGAAGAUUGAAAACAAUGACAAGCUACACCUUAAGUUAACCUUCCCCUUUAAAUGAGGAGUGGCCCCGAGUCACAGCUGCUGAUGAAUCACAGACUUUGCCUGGCAUCCAGUUUCAAUUCCAUCCUCUUAAAUGAUCUGGUGUUCUGUGUUUUACUGGUGGACAUCAUGUCAGAUCAUGUCCUGUCCUCCUCAGAAACUUCUAGUGCUCCCAGUAACUUGUAGAAUAAAAUCUGAAGUUGUUAGCCUGUUCCUCUGGCCUUUCACAAUGUGGAAAUAGACAUUUUUAGAAAAAGAUUGCAAACGUAAUACCUACUCAUUUUAGAAAAUUUUGAAGAUACAAGGGUUGGCAACCUUUUUAUGUAAAGGGCCAGAUAGUAAAUAAUUUUGUCUUUGUCACUACUAAUCAACUCUGCCAUUGUAGCACAGAAUCAGCCACAGACAUGACAAUACAGAAAUAAACACGUGUGUUUGUGUUCCAAUAAAACUAUAUACAAGUCAGUCAGUGGGUCAGAUUUGGUUUGUGGGCCAU